GUGGGUAUAGCUCAGUGUUAGAGCACGUGCUUAGCAUGUACCAGAUCCUAGGUUUAAGCCCCAGUACCUCCA
rnacentral:tRNA from 1 species